rnacentral:lncRNA from 1 species
AUGGGGCAUGCGCAGGAAGGGAACUGGGAACGGCACAGUGUAACUGUCCUGGGGCGGUGCCAUCCAGGGUCUACAACAGAUGGCAUCUGUUUGACUGUAAUCUGUGGAGGAGAAAGGGCUAUCUUCAGAGCCCUGCAGGAAGCUCACAGUCACAGAGUGUCCUGGAGAGCAACCUUACACCAUGGCUUCCUUUCUGGAGAGUGGGCAACUUCCUAAAAGCCAGAGAGAAGAGAUGUUAAGUGGCCUUGUCCUGUGGCUUGGCAAAUGAGAGGCCAAGGAGAAAAUGGAAGAAAGCAAUUUGAAGUCAAAGUGUUAUCUUCUCAAAAAGUGGCCCACUUGGGGGAUAUCCCCAGCAGACUGCUUGCAGAACACCUCCGUUUCAAUGCGUCUGUGUUUGUUUGGCUCCUAGUUUGGACUACAAAAUGCUAAUGUCCCACAUCCUUCUCCCCCGACUGUCCCUCUUGGUUCAUUGCUGGGCAACUCCUCUAAGCCAGCUCCCUGUGGUAAUAACAUCUUUGCAACAAAAUGUGAUCACCACAGAGACCAGAAACAAUAAAUUAACAAACUAAAAAUACUUAAUAAAUUGAUGUUGGUUUAAAUAAUGUGACAGUCUCUUUC